GGCCUCUCGCGUCAGGAUAUGCCUAGGUGGGAUUAGCUAGUUGGUGAGGUAAGGGCUCACCAAGGCGACGAUCCCUAGCUGGUCUGAGAGGAUGAUCAGCCACACUGGAACUGAGACACGGUCCAGACUCCUACGGGAGGCAGCAGUGGGGAAUAUUGCACAAUGGGCGCAAGCCUGAUGCAGCCAUGCCGCGUGUGUGAAGAAGGCCUUCGGGUUGUAAAGCACUUUCAGUCGUGAGGAAGGUAGUGUAGUUAAUAGCUGCAUUAUUUGACGUUAGCGACAGAAGAAGCACCGGCUAACUCCGUGCCAGCAGCCGCGGUAAUACGGAGGGUGCGAGCGUUAAUCGGAAUUACUGGGCGUAAAGCGCAUGCAGGUGGUUUGUUAAGUCAGAUGUGAAAGCCCGGGGCUCAACCUCGGAAUUGCAUUUGAAACUGGCAGACUAGAGUACUGUAGAGGGGGGUAGAAUUUCAGGUGUAGCGGUGAAAUGCGUAGAGAUCUGAAGGAAUACCGGUGGCGAAGGCGGCCCCCUGGACAGAUACUGACACUCAGAUGCGAAAGCGUGGGGAGCAAACAGGAUUAGAUACCCUGGUAGUCCACGCCGUAAACGAUGUCUACUUGGAGGUUGUGGCCUUGAGCCGUGGCUUUCGGAGCUAACGCGUUAAGUAGACCGCCUGGGGAGUACGGUCGCAAGAUUAAAACUCAAAUGAAUUGACGGGGGCCCGCACAAGCGGUGGAGCAUGUGGUUUAAUUCGAUGCAACGCGAAGAACCUUACCUACUCUUGACAUCCAGAGAACUUUCCAGAGAUGGAUUGGUGCCUUCGGGAACUCUGAGACAGGUGCUGCAUGGCUGUCGUCAGCUCGUGUUGUGAAAUGUUGGGUUAAGUCCCGCAACGAGCGCAACCCUUAUCCUUGUUUGCCAGCGAGUAAUGUCGGGAACUCCAGGGAGACUGCCGGUGAUAAACCGGAGGAAGGUGGGGACGACGUCAAGUCAUCAUGGCCCUUACGAGUAGGGCUACACACGUGCUACAAUGGCGCAUACAGAGGGCAGCCAACUUGCGAAAGUGAGCGAAUCCCAAAAAGUGCGUCGUAGUCCGGAUUGGAGUCUGCAACUCGACUCCAUGAAGUCGGAAUCGCUAGUAAUCGUGGAUCAGAAUGCCACGGUGAAUACGUUCCCGGGCCUUGUACACACCGCCCGUCACACCAUGGGAGUGGGCUGCAAAAGAAGUAGGUAGUUUAACCUUCGGGGGGACGCUUACCACUUUGUGGUUCAUGACUGGGGUGAAGUCGUAACAAGGUAGCGCUAGGGGAACC
rnacentral:rRNA from 1 species